AUGAAUGAACGGCUGUUGCGGCCUUUGAAGGAGGAAGAAGUGAAGGCUGCAGUUUUUGCUAUGGGGCCUUCAAAGGCGCCCGGGAGGGAUGGCUUUCACGCGGCCUUCUACCAGAAACAUUGGGAGCUGAUAGGGCCUGAUGUUACUAUGGCUGUCCUAGGUUUCUUGAAUGGAGGACAAAUGCCGGACACAAUGAACAACACGAUUAUUGUUCUUAUACCAAAGGUGAGAAAUCCACAAAAUAUCACUCAGUAUAGACCAAUAUCAUUGUGUAAUGUUCUCUAUAAAAUAUGUUCGAAGGUGCUUGCUAACCGUCUGAAAGAUAUCCUUGAUGAGAUUAUUGCAGAGGAGCAAAGUGCUUUCGUUCCAGGACGAUUGAUUACCGACAACAUCCUAGUGGCUUAUGAAUGUAUACAUUCGAUGAAAAGGAAGAAGGGGAAGCAAGGAUGGUGUGCGGUGAAGAUUGAUAUGAUUAAGGCGUAUGACCGAGUGGAAUGGUCGUAUCUGGAAGGGAUAAUGCACCAACUGGGUUUUCAUGAACGAUGGAUUUCUCUUAUUAUGAGAUGUGUGAACACCGUGAGCUUCCUAGUGAAGGUCGGUGAGUUGUUACCAGCCUUUUUACCUUCAAGAGGCUUUCAUCAAGGAGACCAGAUAUCGCCAUACCUAUUUAUUCUAUGUGGGGAGGGUCUAUCUUCAAUGCUCCUAAACUACGAUGGUGACUGGAUAGAUAGGGGCAUCCGAGUGAGCGCUUCUGCACCAUGGAUCUUGCAUCUCCUCUUUGCAGAUGAUUGUUGGAUCUUCAUGAAAGCUGACUCGAGGAGUGCUACCAGGUUAACUGACAUUUUGGAACAAUACAGUGUGGGCUCGGGUCAAAGUGCAAAUAAAAUGAAGAGCUCGGUUUAUUUUAGCCCAAACAGUGGGGCGUCAGUUAAGAGGGGUGUCAAGGCCACCCUUCAGAUACAUAGGGAGGCAAUGUUCGAGAAAUACCUUGGCCUUCCAACUGUCGCGGGUAGGAUUACUGAACAAAGCUUUGAACACAUCAACGAGCAGUCAAGGUCAAAGGUGCAAGGGUGGUGUGAGAGGAAGAUGUCAUGCGCUGCAAAAGAAGUUCUCCUAAAAACAGUGGUUCAAGCCUUACCGGCCUUCUCUAUGAGUUGUUUCAAACUCACAAAAGGUCUGUGCAAGAAACUGACGACGAACAUGUCAAAAUAUUGGUGGGAUGGGUCACUUGAUAAGAAGGGGAUGCACUGGCAGGCGUGGUAUAAGAUGUGUGUAGCAAAGUCAAAAGGAGGUCUCGGAUUCCGGGAUUUUGAAACCUUCAAUGACGCGAUGCUGGCCAAGCAAGCAUGGAGAAUUCUUGACAAUCCAAACAGCUUGUGUGCCCGAGUUCUAAAGGGAAGAUAUUUCCCAAAUGAGGGGUUCCUAACUGCGGGUUGUCCAAAAAGUGCAUCUAAAACAUGGAAGGCAAUAAUUGUAGGGAGAGAGAUGCUCAAGAAAGGACUAAUUCAACGAGUGGGAGAUGGAUCAACAACCGAAGUGUGA
rnacentral:rRNA from 1 species